UACGGGGGGAGCAAGCGUUGUUCGGAUUUACUGGGCGUAAAGGGCGCGUAGGCGGUCUGCUCAAGCCAGUUGUGAAAUCUCCGAGCUUAACUCGGAAAGGUCAACUGAUACUGUGCGACUAGAGUGCAGAAGGGGCAACUGGAAUUCUCGGUGUAGCGGUGAAAUGCGCAGAUAUCAGGAAGAACACCCGUGGCGAAGGCGGCUCUCUGGGACGGUACUGACGCUGAGACGCGAAAGCGUGGGGAGCAAACAGG
rnacentral:rRNA from 1 species